GUGUGUGUGUGGGGGCAGAGGGAGAGGGUGUGUGUGUGGUGUGUGGGGCAGAGAGAGAGGGUGUGUGUGUGUGUGUGGGGCAGAGGGAGAGGGUGUGUGUGUGUGUGUGUGUGUGUGUGGGGCAGAGGGAGAGGGUGUGUGUGUGUGUGUGUGGGGGGCAGAGGGAGAGGGUGUAUGUGGUGUGUGGGGCAGAGAGAGAGGGUGUGUGUGUGUGGCAUAGAGAGAGGGGUGUGUGUGGUGUGUGGGGCAGAGAGAGAGGGUGUGUGUGUGUGUGUGUGGGGGGCAGAGGGAGAGGGUGUGUGUGUGUGGGGCAGAGGGAGAGGGUGUGUGUGUGUGGGGCAGAGGGAGAGGGUGUGUGUGUGGCAGAGAGAGAGGGUGUGUGUGUGUGUGUGUGUGUGUGUGUGGGGCAGAGGGUGAGGGUGUGU
ensembl:lncRNA